UACGUAGGGGGCAAGCGUUGUCCGGAAUCACUGGGCGUAAAGCGCACGUAGGCGGCUUUCUAAGUCAGGGGUGAAAUCCUGGAGCUCAACUCCAGAACUGCCUUUGAUACUGGAGAGCUUGAGUCCGGAAGAGGUGAGUGGAACUCCGAGUGUAGAGGUGAAAUUCGUAGAUAUUCGGAAGAACACCAGUGGCGAAGGCGGCUCACUGGUCCGGUACUGACGCUGAUGUGCGAAAGCGUGGGGAGCAAACAGG
rnacentral:rRNA from 1 species